rnacentral:rRNA from 1 species
AACCUGCGGAGGGAUCAUUACGAAAAGAGUCUCCGUACUCGCAACCCUUUGUGAACCUUACCUAUCGUCUGUUUCUUCGGCGGGAGGCCCCCUGGGGGGGGCCCCGGGGCCCGGCCAGAGCCGGGCUCCCGCCGGAGGGACGCAACCAAAACUCUUGCUGUACCUCAGUGGCACCUCCGAGUCAACUACAAAACAAGUUAAAACUUUCAACAACGGAUCUCUUGGUUCUGGCAUCGAUGAAGAACGCAGCGAAAUGCGAUAAGUAAUGUGAAUUGCAGAAUUCAGUGAAUCAUCGAAUCUUUGAACGCACAUUGCGCCCGCCAGUAUUCUGGCGGGCAUGCCUGUUCGAGCGUCAUUUCAACCCCUCAGGCCCUGGUGCCUGGCGUCGGGGCUCUUCCCUCGCGGGAAGCCCCUAGAGACAGUGGCGGACCCGCCGCGGCUCCGAGCGCAGUAGUAACAUUCUCGCUUAGGAGGCCCGCGGGGUGGCUCCCGGCCGUAAAACCCAGCCCCUGAAAAGGCUGAACUCCUCAAGGUUGACCUCGGAUCAGGUAGGAAUACCCGCUGAACUUAAGCAUAUCAAUAAGACGG